GACGAACGCUGGCGGCGUGCCUAAUACAUGCAAGUCGAACGAACCGCGACUAAGUGCUUGCACUCAGUCAAGGUGAGUGGCGAACGGGUGAGUAACACGUGGGUAACCUACCUCAUAGUGGGGGAUAACAGUCGGAAACGACUGCUAAUACCGCAUAGGACAUAGGAUCACAUGAUCCAGUGAGGAAAGGUGGCGCAAGCUAUCGCUAAGAGAUGGACCCGCGGUGCAUUAGCUAGUUGGUAGGGUAAAGGCCUACCAAGGCGAUGAUGCAUAGCCGACCUGAGAGGGUGAUCGGCCACAUUGGAACUGAGACACGGCCCAAACUCCUACGGGAGGCAGCAGUAGGGAAUCUUCCGCAAUGGACGCAAGUCUGACGGAGCAACGCCGCGUGAGUGAAGAAGGUCUUCGGAUCGUAAAGCUCUGUUGUUAGAGAAGAACAGCGCAUAGAGUAACUGCUAUGCGUGUGACGGUAUCUAACCAGAAAGCCACGGCUAACUACGUG
rnacentral:rRNA from 1 species